rnacentral:rRNA from 1 species
GGAUCAGUACGCUGGUCGUGCCUUCGGUAUGUACUGGUGUUACUGGUUCCUACCUUCUGACGAACCGUCAUGUCAUUAAUUUGGUGUGGCGGGGAAUCAGGACUGUUACUUUGAAAAAAUUAGAGUGUUCAAAGCAGGCGUAACCUUGCCAUUGAAUAUUACAGCAUGGGAUAAUAGAAU